rnacentral:rRNA from 1 species
GAUGAACGCUGGCGGCGUGCCUAAUACAUGCAAGUCGAGCGAACGGACGAGAAGCUUGCUUCUCUGAUGUUAGCGGCGGACGGGUGAGUAACACGUGGAUAACCUACCUAUAAGACUGGGAUAACUUCGGGAAGCCGGAGCUAAUACCGGAUAAUAUUUUGAACCGCAUGGUUCAAAAGUGAAAGACGGUCUUGCUGUCACUUAUAGAUGGAUCCGCGCUGCAUUAGCUAGUUGGUAAGGUAACGGCUUACCAAGGCAACGAUGCAUAGCCGACCUGAGAGGUGGGGCGGCAACCGGGGAAUGGGAACACGGCCCAGCCCCCUAGGGGAGGCAGAAGUAGGAAAUCUUCCGAAAGGGGCGAAACCCGGACGGAGAAACGCGGCGGGAGUAAUGAAGGUCUCCGAAUCGAAAAACUUUUUUAUGAGGGAAGAAAAUUUGUGAAAGUAACGUUGCACAUCUUGGCGGUACAUAAUAAGAAGGCCACGGCUAACAAGGGG